AUGCCAUGUUGAGGACACUUUCGGAGUAGUCCUUUAAACCUUUCCCAUGCCUCGUAUAAAGAUUCACUUUCUUUUUGUUCAAAAUCCGUGAUCUCUAAUUUGAAUCU